rnacentral:tmRNA from 1 species
GGGGAUGACAGGCAUCGACGAGGAAUUUGCACUUUUAAAAAUGGUUAGGGCGGAUCUAUUCGUUAAAUAGAAAAAAAUUAACUGAUAAGCAAACAGCUUUGUCAGAUAGUGAUAUAUCAUUCUUAAACGGAAUGAUUGGUAAACAACCAGCCUUGGCUUAUAGUCAAGCUAUGUUUGCCUAACUAUCAUUUUUUUAGUUUUUCUCGGUUCAACUAAAAAAAAGUUAACCAAUCGAGAUAAGGUUCUCUCUCGUUACCAAUUGGGUUGAGAAUCGAUAACCAUCAAUUGGCUUCCCGAUGAUUUUUGACUAUUUUUGUAGUCGGGAAAGAGUCAAAAAUAUUCUAUCCCUAACUAAACUUUUUUAGAAGUGUUUCCCCGGACCCGGGUCCAAUUCCCGGCAUCUCCACAC